CACGGGGGGAGCAAGCGUUGUUCGGAAUCACUGGGCGUAAAGGGCGGGUAGGCGGCCACUGCAAGUCGGUUGUGAAAUCUCCGGGCUUAACCCGGAAAGGUCAAUCGAUACUGCAGGGCUAGAGUGCAGAAGGGGCAACUGGAAUUCUCGGUGUAGCGGUGAAAUGCGUAGAUAUCGAGAGGAACACCUGCGGCGAAGGCGGGUUGCUGGGCUGACACUGACGCUGAACUGCGAAAGCUAGGGGAGCGAACGGG
rnacentral:rRNA from 1 species